rnacentral:rRNA from 1 species
UACGAAGGGGGCUAGCGUUGCUCGGAAUCACUGGGCGUAAAGGGUGUGUAGGCGGUUUUCUAAGUUUGGUGUGAAAUCUCCCGGCUCAACCGGGAGGGUGCGCCGAAAACUGGGAGACUAGAGUGCGGGAUGGGAGAGUAGAAUUCCUGGUGUAGCGGUGAAAUGCGUAGAUAUCAGGAGGAAUACCGGUGGUGUAGCCGGCUCUCUGGACCGCCACUGACGCUUAGACACGAAAGCGUGGGUAGCAAACAGG